UCUCAUUUCUUCUUCUUCCUCCUGUUUCUUCUUUUCUCUUAUUCUUCUCCUUCUGCGAGUGAUUUGAGAGUUGUUUGUGAAAGUCAUUUGAGAGAAUCAUUUGAUGAUUAUGAGUAGAUGAUGAAGGGGAUGUUGUAGCUGUGAUUUAUGAUGGAGAACAGUUAGGGUUUGAAUCUGGGUAGAUCAAAUUUAGGAUUAGAGAUUCGAUUAUUGAUUUGAAGAUUUAGAAGAUAAGAUACAGAGAUAUGGCUUGAUGAAGAAUCACGGUUGGUGUUCAAUUAAAGAGUUGAAGUGGAUUCAGCGAUGAAUAAAAGAAUUAGGGUUUCUCAAGAUGAACCGGAAGUUAGAUUUAGUGAUGUUUAAGAAGGAUUGAAGUUGGGUUUUCAUUGAUUGAGGAACGGGGUGGAGUUAAUUAGAUGUUGGAGCUUUAAUUUCAAUUUAAUUGUGAAUUUGAGAAUUAGGGUUCUUGAGUCUCGAUCUCAGAGAAGCUACGGAAGAUGAAAUUGAAGAUGAAAUUGAGAGUUUAAAGAGAAGAUUUGAGAUGGGUUUUGAUCAGGUAUGAAGUAGAAUUGUUAGCAUGAGUUUAAAUUUGAUUUCAAAACAAAUUAAGGUUUAUGUUCUUCCCAUAAUUAGCAAAUUAGGGUUUUGUUAUUCAUAUUUGAUAUAUGUUGAAUUGGUUAGAAUUUGAGUUGUUAAUAGUUAAAGAAUGAUGGGGUUGCUAUCAGUUGAAGUUGUCGAUUUGAUUUGAAGAAGAUAAAUUCAAUGGUAAGGUUCUAACAAGAAGCAGAGUUCUGAGGUUUGGCUAAGUUAUUGGUGUUGGAGUUAAAUUAGUGGGGAAUUUAUUAUGAACUGCAGGUGGAUAUAGUUGGUUGUUUGAAGUGGUUGAGCUAUGGAAGCUGUCUGGUAUUGCUACUACUGUUGGAGUUACUGUAAUUGCAGAUGCAUGUGAAAUGGUUAGUUGUCAUUGUAGUUUAGGUCAUGUUGAGAUACAAAGGAAAUGAAGUUACAAAUAUAAUGGAGAUAAUGACUUGGGUAGCUAUGAGAUGAAUGUUGGGUUGAACACAAGUGGCAAUCAUGAAGAGAUUGUGUUUAGAAACUGUGUUGAAUUGUUGUGGAAGAUGGAGUUGAGGUCUGCUUGGGGGUUUUAUAGCUGUCAGUGUUUAGAGGAUAUAUGAACUCUUACAGACGAGGUGUAAUUGUACUGCAGUGUAUAACUAAUGGGUUAAGUUGAUGUUGCAGGUGGUAUGGUUUACUGAAUGAUAAUGGUUGCUUGAAUUGAUAUGGGUGUUACUGUUUAGAGGAUAAGGAAGAGGUCAUGGUGGUGAGCGAGAUGAACUGAUGUUGAUGUUGUGGGAGAGUUAGCUCUGGCAGUGGUGUUGAAGAGAAUUGAUUGUGUUGAAUUGAACCUCUCUAGUGAAAGAUUAAAGAUGCAACUGCAGUUUUUCUGUAUUAACAACGAUCGAUUUAAAGGAUGAACCAUUGGAUCGUGGAUCUCGAGGUAGGCGUGGCUUGUCAUCAAAAGAGUUUCAGAGACAGAUCAGAGUUGCGCAACGGAAGCUUCGAGGAAUUGAGUUUAUUAGUUUGAUUAACUUCAGCUAUGUUAUUAUAUUGUAUGUUUUAUUUGUAAACCAAAUGACUAUUGUAUAUGUAUCACUUGAGAGAAGUUCUUGUAUAUGUAUAUAUUGCAGAGCGGAGCUAGUUUGGGUUAAGUUUUAUAGCAGGUUUUUUAAUUGAAUGCUUAAGUAUUUGAGUUAGAUUCGCAGUCCCUCUUUAUUUA